rnacentral:rRNA from 1 species
AGUGAACGCUGGCGGUAGGCCUAACACAUGCAAGUCGAACGGCAGCACAGUAAGAGCUUGCUCUUACGGGUGGCGAGUGGCGGACGGGUGAGGAAUACAUCGGACUCUACUUUUUCGUGGGGGAUAACGUAGGGAAACUUACGCUCAUACCGCAUACGACCUACGGGUGAAAGCAGGGGAUCUUCGGACCUUGCGCGAUUGAAUGAGCCGAUGUCGGAUUAGCUAGUUGGCGGGGUAAAGGCCCACCAAGGCGACGAUCCGUAGCUGGUCUGAGAGGAUGGUAAGCCACACUGGAACUGAGACACGGUCCAGGCUCCUGCGGGAGGCAGCAGUGGGGAAUAUUGGACAAUGGGCGCAAGCCUGAUCCAGCCAUACCGCGUGGGUGAAGAAGGCCUUCGGGUUGUAAAGCCCUUUUGUUGGGAAAGAAAAGCAGCAGGUUAAUACCCCGCUGUUCUGACGGUACCCAAAGAAUAAGCACCGGCUAACUUCGUG